CAGCCCUGCUGGGAGCGUGGUGGAAUUUGUACUAUCUCGGGGCGCCAGAGGCUCUCCGAGCCUUUCCAAGUUAGGGGAGGCCACUAGAAGCCACGUCCACAAGGAUUCUGAGAAAUGUGAUCCGGAUGAGCAGAGGAGGAGCCAACUAAAAUGGAAGCCAGGGACCUUCAGGUACUGAGAUGCAUAUCCUAUGCUGUAUGAAUGCACCGCCAUUCUCAUAUACUCAGAGUUACGCCGCCAUCACCACAAUUGCAUUCUGAGACGUCCAGAGAAGCAGGAAGGCUGACACUAAGAUCCAAAUCCAGGUGUGGUGACACAUGUCUGUGAUCACAGAACUGGGAGUCUAAAGUGAAGGGGUUGCCAUCACCACGAGUUUAAGGCCAGCCUGGGCUACAGAGUGAUACCCUGACAAGAAAGAAAAAAUAG
rnacentral:sRNA from 1 species